rnacentral:rRNA from 1 species
AUUGAACGCUGGCGGAAUGCUUUACACAUGCAAGUCGAACGGCAGCACGGACUUCGGUCUGGUGGCGAGUGGCGAACGGGUGAGUAAUGUAUCGGAACGUGCCCAGUCGUGGGGGAUAACGUAGUGAAAAUUACGCUAAUACCGCAUACGAUCUAUGGAUGAAAGCGGGGGAUCGCAAGACCUCGCGCGAUUGGAGCGGCCGAUAUCAGAUUAGGUAGUUGGUGGGGUAAAGGCCCACCAAGCCAACGAUCUGUAGCUGGUCUGAGAGGACGACCGGCCACACUGGAACUGAGACACGGUCCAGACUCCUACGGGAGGCAGCAGUGGGGAAUUUUGGACAAUGGGCGAAAGCCUGAUCCAGCCAUUCCGCGUGCAGGAUGAAGGCCCUCGGGUUGUAAACUGCUUUUGUACAGAACGAAAAGGUUUCUACUAAUACUAGGAGCUCAUGACGGUACUGUAAGAAUAAGCACCGGCUAACUACGUGCCAGCAGCCGCGGUAAAAC